AGCUUUUUGAAUCCGUGCAGAGAUUUCGUCAGACACCAACCAUUAGGGCUGAUCAGACUUACCAAAGUUUAUAUAGCG
rnacentral:pre_miRNA from 1 species